GGAAGGCAUCCGGCUGGAUGAGGAGACUGUCUUGAAAACAGUUGGCGGAUCAAACCGCUUCGGGGUUCGAGUCCCUGGUCUUCCG
rnacentral:tRNA from 1 species